rnacentral:rRNA from 1 species
CAGCCGCCGCGGGAACACAGAGGGUGCGAGCGUUAAUCGGAUUUACUGGGCGUAAAGCGUGCGUAGGCGGCUAAUUGAGUCGGAUGUGAAAUCCCCGAGCUUAACUUGGGAAUUGCAUUCGAUACUGGUUAGCUAGAGUGUGGGAGAGGAUGGUAGAAUUCCAGGUGUAGCGGUGAAAUGCGUAGAGAUCUGGAGGAAUACCGAUGGCGAAGGCAGCCAUCUGGCCUAACACUGACGCUGAGGUACGAAAACAUGGGGAGCAAACAGGAUUAGAUACCCCUGUAGUCCCUGUCUCUUAUAC